rnacentral:rRNA from 1 species
GACGAACGCUGGCGGCGUGCCUAAUACAUGCAAGUAGAACGCUGAAGAGAGGAGCUUGCUCUUCUUGGAUGAGUUGCGAACGGGUGAGUAACGCGUAGGUAACCUGCCUUGUAGCGGGGGAUAACUAUUGGAAACGAUAGCUAAUACCGCAUAACAAUGGAUGACACAUGUCAUUUAUUUGAAAGGGGCAAUUGCUCCACUACAAGAUGGACCUGCGUUGUAUUAGCUAGUAGGUGAGGUAACGGCUCACCUAGGCGACGAUACAUAGCCGACCUGAGAGGGUGAUCGGCCACACUGGGACUGAGACACGGCCCAGACUCCUACGGGAGGCAGCAGUAGGGAAUCUUCGGCAAUGGGGGCAACCCUGACCGAGCAACGCCGCGUGAGUGAAGAAGGUUUUCGGAUCGUAAAGCUCUGUUGUAAGUCAAGAACGAGUGUGAGAGUGGAAAGUUCACACUGUGACGGUAGCUUACCAGAAAGGGACGGCUAACUACGUGCCAGCAGCCGCGGUAAUACGUAGGUCCCGAGCGUUGUCCGGAUUUAUUGGGCGUAAAGCGAGCGCAUGCGGUUUGAUAAGUCUGAAGUUAAGGCUGUGGCUCAACCAUAGUUCGCUUUGGAAACUGUCAAACUUGAGUGCAGAAGGGGAGAGUGGAAUUCCAUGUGUAGCGGUGAAAUGCGUAGAUAUAUGGAGGAACACCGGUGGCGAAAGCGGCUCUCUGGUCUGUAACUGACGCUGAGGCUCGAAAGCGUGGGGAGCGAACAGGAUUAGAUACCCUGGUAGUCCACGCCGUAAACGAUGAGUGCUAGGUGUUGGAUCCUUUCCGGGAUUCAGUGCCGCAGCUAACGCAUUAAGCACUCCGCCUGGGGAGUACGACCGCAAGGUUGAAACUCAAAGGAAUUGACGGGGGCCCGCACAAGCGGUGGAGCAUGUGGUUUAAUUCGAAGCAACGCGAAGAACCUUACCAGGUCUUGACAUCCCGAUGCUAUUUCUAGAGAUAGAAAGUUACUUCGGUACAUCGGUGACAGGUGGUGCAUGGUUGUCGUCAGCUCGUGUCGUGAGAUGUUGGGUUAAGUCCCGCAACGAGCGCAACCCCUAUUGUUAGUUGCCAUCAUUCAGUUGGGCACUCUAGCGAGACUGCCGGUAAUAAACCGGAGGAAGGUGGGGAUGACGUCAAAUCAUCAUGCCCCUUAUGACCUGGGCUACACACGUGCUACAAUGGUUGGUACAACGAGUUGCGAGUCGGUGACGGCAAGCUAAUCUCUUAAAGCCAAUCUCAGUUCGGAUUGUAGGCUGCAACUCGCCUACAUGAAGUCGGAAUCGCUAGUAAUCGCGGAUCAGCACGCCGCGGUGAAUACGUUCCCGGGCCU